AUUGAACGCUGGCGGCAGGCUUAACACAUGCAAGUCGAGCGGGGUGAUGGUGCUUGCACUAUCACUUAGCGGCGGACGGGUGAGUAAUGCUUAGGAAUCUGCCUAUUAGUGGGGGACAACAUCUCGAAAGGGAUGCUAAUACCGCAUACGUCCUACGGGAGAAAGCAGGGGAUCACUCGUGACCUUGCGCUAAUAGAUGAGCCUAAGUCGGAUUAGCUAGUUGGUGGGGUAAAGGCCUACCAAGGCGACGAUCUGUAGCGGGUCUGAGAGGAUGAUCCGCCACACUGGGACUGAGAAACGGCCCAGACUCCGACGGGAGGCAGCAGUGGGGAAUAUUGGACAAUGGGGGGAACCCUGAUCCAGCCAUGCCGCGUGUGUGAAGAAGGCCUUAUGGUUGUAAAGCACUUUAAGCGAGGAGGAGGCUCUUUUGGUUAAUACCCAAGAUGAGUGGACGUUACUCGCAGAAUAAGCACUGGCUAACUCUGUGCCAGCAGCCGCCGUAA
rnacentral:rRNA from 1 species